GAAAUACCACCCUGUCGUGCUUGACGUUCUAACCUGGGCCCAUUAUCUGGGUCGGGGACCGUGUAUGGUGGGUAGUUUGACUGGGGCGGUCUCCUCCUAAAGAGUAACGGAGGAGCUCGAAGGUACGCUCAGCGCGGUCGGACAUCGCGCACUGUGUGCAAAGGCAUAAGCGUGCUUGACUGCAAGAUCGACGGAUCAAGCAGGUAGGAAACUAGGACUUAGUGAUCCGGUGGUUCUGUAUGGAAGGGCCAUCGCUCAACGGAUAAAAGGUACUCCGGGGAUAACAGGCUGAUACCGCCCAAGAGUUCAUAUCGACGGCGGUGUUUGGCACCUCGAUGUCGGCUCAUCACAUCCUGGGGCUGUAGUCGGUCCCAAGGGUAUGGCUGUUCGCCAUUUAAAGUGGUACGCGAGCUGGGUUCAGAACGUCGUGAGACAGUUCGGUCCCUAUCUGCCAUGGGCGUUGGAGAUUUGAGAGGGGCUGCUCCUAGUACGAGAGGACCGGAGUGGACGAACCUCUGGUGUUCCGGUUGUCACGCCAGUGGCAUUGCCGGGUAGCUAUGUUCGGAAGCGAUAACCGCUGAAAGCAUCUAAGCGGGAAGCGCGCCUCAAGAUGAGAUCUCCCGGGGCACAAGCCCCCUGAAGGAACCAUGUAGACUACGUGGUUGAUAGGUCAGGUGUGUAAGUACAGCAAUGUAUUGAGCUAACUGAUACUAAUGAUCCGUGCGGCUUGACCAUAUAACCUCA
rnacentral:rRNA from 1 species